rnacentral:lncRNA from 1 species
UCAUGUGGUGCAGGGAGCUAUACCCAGCUGGCGAGACUUUGGGAUUUAAGAAAACGAUGGUCAGCGCGAAGGGAGAAAAGCCAGCUUGUGAGGAGGAAAGGCUCCGGAGAGGUUCGUGGCAGCUGGAGGAGUUUCACAAGCAGCUUGAGUCAGAAUGGUCUGGGGGACCCCGGUUUUGGCAAGAGAAAGAAUUUGCAAAACAGGAGAAAACAAAAAUAGCAAGAAGCUGAGCCACCACAGAGCUCUGUCAGGGGGGAGAGCUGGACUACAAACUCUAUGCUUCUUUAGGUCUGGAGGGGGAAAGGAGAAAAACUAACAAGAACAUUUCCCCGAGGAUGCUAAGACCCUCCUCAGUUCCGACCGCAGAACGCCUACGUUUGCAAUUUGAGGGAUUUAACUCUCAAAAUCCAUGUGUGUGGAAACGGAAAAAACGCUGACAACUUUGCCUGCUGAGGUGUUGACCAGUCUUGAAUUCGACCAUGUACUCAAGUUUGAAAACUAGAUGCAAGGUGCUUUUCAGGCUAGGACUUCCUCCUCCCAAGCAGGGAAGCUCACAGCUAUUUAUUGCAAUUCAUCAGAACUGUCGCUCUGUAACAGCCUUAUAACUUACACUCUGAAACAGAAAACCAUCAGAACUUCCUAGUUCUCAUCAUACAUUACGUUCAUUAAAAAAUAGCACUUUUUAAAAUUGUCAUUUUUUUCACUGUUGGGUGAUUCCUGAGCUCUGCCUAACAAUUAGGUCAUAAAAUCAUUCUCUUUAAGUCUCAUUUUCCUUUUUCAAGGUAACAUACGUAGACCCCAUAGCUCUGCCUUCCACUGCAUGUACCUAAAAGCACUAUAUCAUUUACUUACAAAAUUAUAUAGAUCUACAUACAUCUAUCAUUUUAGCUGGGGCAUUUGUGUUACCCUCUGGUCCCUACUCACCAGGACUGAUGCUGGGAGAGGUGAUAGAGAGAUGUGAAGGUGCAGUUAGGUGUUCCAGAUGAAGAGCACUCAGCUCUUGAUCCGAGGCACUGAACGAAGUGAUGCCCUCCCAGCCCUGACAGUCCAGGUAGGUGGUCUCCAGAGUUCGGGCUUCAUAUAAAAGUACAAUCACAGAUAUCUGUCUAAGCUGUUUGUCAAUUCAAGAACCCGUCAUUCUGAUAAAGAACUGAAUCUAAGGGAGGAGAUUCCCUGUAAAAAUUCACGAAUCUCUGUGCUUUCUAAUCACUAACUGCACAGGCCCUUCUGGAACAGACUUCAUAAUGUUCCAGGCAUCGAAGUGCACCAGCCCAACCAAGGGCUUCCCGUUAAUAGCAAGGAUCUCAUCACCCGCUUCUAUUGUUCCAGCUUGUUCUGCCGCGCCA